GAAACGCUCUCGGGAGCAGUUCUGUAAAUCCCUGCUGGGAGCAGAGACUGCGAAAAGCUGAGUCCGCCGAUCGUGCCCGGGACAAGGCUGCCUUCCACUCGCCCUCGCCGCAUCUACCUGGUAGGCGGCAUGCGCACGGGCUUAGAGGCUUGAGAGCCUCUGGAAGAGAAAGGGUCCCAGGAAGGAAACCUGCCCCCGGCCUAAGUGUCGGCGCCCAGAUCACCACGAACCCCGCACCUAGGCGCCGCCCACCAAGUUCCAAAGAAGUCCGAGGCGACCUGGGAGUCGGUCGGAUCCCAGCCGAGAAAAGAAACAAGCAGGAUAGCAAUUCUUAGGGGAGCCACCCUGGGAGUUUUAGGCAGCGUUUGCCUUUCCCUGGUUUUCUUCACCAAGCCCCAUCCUCCCCCCGCAUACCACCCCCAGUCAAAAGAGUGGGAGAAAAUGCACAGUUCGAAGUCGGUGAGAGCAAAAAUGGGUCUAGUAAAUCAACCCGUGGUGGUAGCUAAAAGGUUUGGGGCUGCAAAGAAACAAACUGUAAGUUUUGAGCAACAAACUUUUUCUUCAAUCUGUAAUAUGUCGAAAUGGGAAGGGGGUGUUGCAAAAGCCAACUACCACUGUCAAACUUAGCCCGUUUACAACAUGGGGAAAGGCGUAUUUCUUACUAAUAUCUCAACAACGAUAACAAUGCUGUAUCCUUCCUUACCUUGAUGUUGAACUGCGAAUCCUCCUCCGGAUCAAUGUCCAGGAACUUAGAAGAAUUGGUGAUAUUAGGAGUUCAGUACUUCUGGAAAAAAAUGCAAAUGGUUUAGCCAGGAUCUUUCCUGUCUGAUUCGUCACUAUUAUUAUAUCUGAUGAUGCGAAUGGUUGGAGCGAUUCAAUCCUAAGUCAUUAAUGAGCUAUUUUAUAAACACCACUGUCUGAAGAUCUUCAUUUACAUUUUGCUAAGGAUCACUUCGCUAACCUCACAGGCUUGUGUCAACAGCAUGAUUUGCAGGACUUCAGUUACACUCUUAUAAACAACACGGCUGUAUUGUUAAUCGGUUAAUAUUUUAUAAAGUGUAAAUAUUUUAUUAUGUUUUGAAGGGAACUAUUGAUUCUAAAUUAUUAAACCCCUGAGAAGGACUAUUUAAAUGAAAUAUACAAUUAAGUACAAUUAAAUGUACAUUGUGGUUAGUUUGUUUUCAGAUUCUGCACCCUUUUAAAUUCAUUGCUUUUCUCUUUACUGGAGUUUCCUCUUGUCCAUUUCUGAUACUGAAAAAAAUCUAUCAUGUUAGGAAAAAGCCUAAAUUAUUUAAAGUUGCAUUAAACUUAGAGGAAAAUGUCAAAUACGAUUAAUUAUGACCAGAAAUGUAUUUUGGAUGUUUGUAGAGUUGUAUUUCAUAUCACAUUUUACAAAUUUCUUCCGAUUUAAAGGAGAGUUCUAGGAAGUUUUGUGAUCUAUGUCCGGUGUGGGUUUUUGUCCUCUCGAGUUUUGUCUCUAAUAAAGGCCUUUUUUGUUUCAAAUUACAUACGCUUUUUACUGCACAAUUUUUGUAUUGACCUUAUUUCAACUGAAGCGAUUAUUUCCAGCAGGUUUAAUUUCGACAAUAAGAUAUAUUUUAAUAGUUUUACCUUUCGCUAGAAUUUUGUAUUGUUUAAAACAGUAAAUGAAUAAAUUUGCUGAUGAUUCAAGAAUA
rnacentral:lncRNA from 1 species